rnacentral:tRNA from 1 species
GGGGGUGUAGAACGUAAUUGGAAGCGUGCCGGUCUUCUAAACCGGCGGUGUAAAAUACCCUUGUGGGUUCGAGUCCCACCUCCCUCU